GACAGAGGAGCCAAGCGUUGUCCGGAUUUACUGGGCGUAAAGGGCGCGUAGGCGGCCAGCACAAGUCAGUUGUGAAAUCUCCGAGCUUAACUCGGAAAGGUCAACUGAUACUGUGCGGCUAGAGUGCGGAAGGGGCAACUGGAAUUCUUGGUGUAGCGGUGAAAUGCGUAGAUAUCAAGAGGAACACCUGCGGCGAAGGCGGGUUGCUGGGCCGACACUGACGCUGAGGCGCGAAAGCCAGGGGAGCGAACGGG
rnacentral:rRNA from 1 species